rnacentral:rRNA from 1 species
CUUAACGGAGUUUUUUAAAGUAUGUUUUUGUACCAAGAGGUUUUGAUCUUAGAUUUAGUUGUUUAGAAGUGUUGUUUGGUCUGGGUAAGGUCUUGUAAACUAAAUUUAUGUGGUGAUAAGUGAGUCGUAAAGCUUUAUAACUGUUUGGUUGUUUAGAAUUUAGUGGGAUGUAGGUGGCUAUUAGGUCAUUUAUAUUUUUAUACAUUUGGUGAUGUGUGGUUUUUGAUAAGGUUAGAGGUACCUAGUUUUUGUUAUAUUGUUGUAAAUAUGGUUUUGUUGGUUUAUUGGUAUGUUAAUUGUUUGAACAACUGUUUUGCUAUAUUUGGUUAUUAUAUUAUCGUUGAAUAAGUAAUUUUAUUAUGCUAUUUAUUUCUUGAGUUCUUUCCGUCUGUUUAUUAAAAACAUUUCUAAUUUUAAUUGUAGUUAGUAGUGCCUGCCCAAUGUUGGUUAAUUAAUGGCCGCAGUAUAUUGACUGUGCAAAGGUAGCAUAAUUAAUUGCCUUUUAAUUGGAGGCUUGUUUGAAUGGUUUGACGUGAUUGGUAUGAAUAUUUGGUAUUUAGUUGAAAUUGAUUUUGAGGGUUUAGAAUCCUUAAUGUUUAAUAAGACGGAAAGACCCUAGGAUCUUUUGUUUUUGUUUGGGGCAAAUAUUGUUGUUUUAUGAAUAUUGUGACCCU